GACCUCAAAUCAGGUAAAGCUACCCGCUGAAUUUAAGCAUAUUAAUAAGCGGAGGAAAAGAAACUAACCAGGAUUCCCUCAGUAACUGCGAGUGAAGCGGGAAGAGCUCAAGCUUAAAAUCUGAAAGGGUCCAUUCCUUUCCGAAUUGUAGUUUCGUGAACGGUGUUUACGGGCACUCUGCCACAGUACAAGUCCUCUGGAAGGAGGCGCCACAGAGGGUGACAGCCCCGUAGAAUGACUGUGGGUCUCAUUGAGGAGUGUCAAUACGUACCACCUAUUCACAGAGUCGGGUUGUUUGGGAGUACAACCCAAAGUGCGUGGUAAGUUCCAUGUAAAGCUAAAUACGGACUAGAGACCGAUANCGNAACAAGUACCGUGAGGGAAAGAUGCAAAGAACUUUGAAAAGAGAGUUAAAAAGUGCUUGAAUUGUNAAAGGGAGCGAUUGGA
rnacentral:rRNA from 1 species